CUCAUGAUAGUCAAGCUUUCAGUUUUGUGAGGAAACUUCAAGUCACCAUUAUAGAAGCACAGUUACCGCUGAACAACACUGGUUUGAACUGCACAGCUCCACUUACCUUGCAGAUGUUUUUCGACAAAUGCAGUACUAUCAAGACAGAGAAGGGCUGGAAUGAAGCUGAGAGACAGAAAUAAAUGACUGGCACCUGGCAGACCUGACGAAUGAAUGAUUCUGAAGACUGACUGAUUCUACUUGCACUCUCCUAUUAACAUGAAAUCCCUACUGCUAGAGACCACAGUGUUCACAUUCCUAUUUCCAGAAAUAAACUUUUCUUUCCUAUUUCUAAACAAACUCUGUGUUUACAAGCAUUCAUCCAGCAAAUCUCAGUGUUAGGUCACACAC